rnacentral:rRNA from 1 species
CACAUAGGGCGCAAGCGUUGUCCGGAAUUAUUGGGCGUAAAGAGCUCGUAGGUGGUUUGUUACGUCCGCUGUGAAAUCCUAGGGCUUAACCCUGGGCUUGCAGUGGAUACGGGCAGACUAGAGGUAGGUAGGGGAGAAUGGAAUUCCUGGUGUAGCGGUGAAAUGCGCAGAUAUCAGGAGGAACACCGGUGGCGAAGGCGGGUCUCUGGGCCGAUACUGACGCUGAGGAGCGAAAGCGUGGGGAGCGAACAGG